UACAGAGGUCCCAAGCGUUGUUCGGAUUCACUGGGCGUAAAGGGUGCGUAGGUGGCGCGCUAAGUCGGGUGUGAAAUUUCGGAGCUUAACUCCGAAACUGCAUUCGAUACUGGCGUGCUUGAGGACUGGAGAGGAGACUGGAAUUCAUGGUGUAGCAGUGAAAUGCGUAGAGAUCAUGAGGAAGACCAGUGGCGAAGGCGGGUCUCUGGACAGUUCCUGACACUGAGGCACGAAGGCCAGGGGAGCAAACGGG
rnacentral:rRNA from 1 species